rnacentral:rRNA from 1 species
UACGUAGGGACCAAGCGUUUGUUCGGAUUUACUGGGCGUAAAGGGCGCGUAGGCGGCAAUUCAAGUCAUCUGUGAAAUCUCCGGGCUUAACUCAGAACGGCCAAGUGAUACUGCAGUGCUAGAGUGUGGAAGGGGCAAUCGGAAUUCUUGGUGUAGCGGUGAAAUGCGUAGAUAUCAAGAGGAACACCUGAGGUGAAGACGGGUUGCUGGGCCAACACUGACGCUGAUGCGCGAAAGCCAGGGGAGCAAACGGG